rnacentral:rRNA from 1 species
AUUGAACGCUGGCGGCAGGCCUAACACAUGCAAGUCGAGCGGAGCGGCGGACGGGUGAGUAAUGCCUAGGUAUCUGCCCGGUAGCGGGGGAUAACGUUCGGAAACGGGCGCUAAUACUGCAUACUAUCAGAUGAGCCUAGGUCGGAUUAGCUAGUUGGUGGGGUAAAGGUCUACCAAGGCGACGAUCCGUAACUGGUCUGAGAGGAUGAUCAGUCACACUGGAACUGAGACACGGUCCAGACUCCUACGGGAGGCAGCAGUGGGGAAUUUUGGACAAUGGGCGAAAGCCUGAUCCAGCCAUGCCGCGUGUGUGAAGAAGGUCUUCGGAUUGUAAAGCACUUUAGGUUGGGAGGCGGUACCUGCAGAAUAAGCACCGGCUAACUACGUGCCAGCCGCCGCGGUAAUUC